CGGCGAAGGCAGCCUCCUGGGAUAACACUGACGCUCAUGCACGAAAGCGUGGGGAGCAAACAGGAUUAGAUACCCUUUAGUCCACGCCCUAAACGAUGUCAACUAGCUGUUGGGGCCUUCGGGCCUUGGUAGCGCAGCUAACGCGUGAAGUUGACCGCCUGGGGAGUACGGUCGCAAGAUUAAAACCCAAAGGAAUUGACGGGGACCCGCACAAGCGGUGAUGAUGUGGAUUAAUUCGAUGCAACGCGAAAACCUUACCUACCCUGACAUGUCUGGAAUCCCGAAGAGAUUUGGGAGUGCUCGCAAGAGAACCGGAACACAGGUGCUGCAUGGCUGUCGUCAGCUCGUGUCGUGAGAUGUUGGGUUAAGUCCCGCAACGAGCGCAACCCUUGUCAUUAGUUGCUACGAAAGGGCACUCUAAUGAGACUGCCGGUGACAAACCGGAGGAAGGUGGGGAUGACGUCAAGUCUCUCAUGGCCCUUAUGGGUAGGGCUUCACACGUCAUACAAUGGUCGGGACAGAGGGUCGCCAACCCGCGAGGGGGAGCCAAUCCCAGAAACCCGAUCGUAGUCCGGAUCGCAGUCUGCAACUCUGACUGCGUGAAGUCGGAAUCGCUAGAAUCGCGGAUCAGCAUGUCGCGGUGAAUACAUGUUCCCGGGUCUUGUACACACCGCCCGUCACACCAUGGGAGUGGGUUUUACCAGAAGUAGUUAGCCUAACCGCAGGAGGGCGAUUACCACGGUAGGAUUCAUGACUGGGGUGAAGUCGUAACAAGGUAA
rnacentral:misc_RNA from 1 species